GUUAUUAUUUACAUAAAGGUCAUUCCUGGACCUAUCAAGAAAUCAUUACGGAAGCCCUCGUCGUUCUGUGGUUCAGCAGUCAAAUCUCUCUGAAAUUUGGGAUGCGUUCCUUUCCGGGAUGGCGAACGAAUAGGGCAGAUCCUAACGCUCCGCUGCUACUGGACGAAAUCCUCGAAUUCUUUGGACAGCCAAUGAACGACUGUGUGUGGGAUGAGGUGCUCUCUCCAUGGGAACCCACUUCCGCUAUACCAACGUCCCUCGGCGAAGCCCCUUCUGAGAGCGUCUGCCCACCAGUUUCCACUAUGGGAUGCACGGGCACCGUCGCCAUGGUAUGCUCCAGCGCCAUCUUAGCUGUGGCCGUGUGCUGUUCGCUGUACAUCAACCGGAACUGGACGUGUUCGCCCUGGCGUUGGCAGUAUCACUUCCACCAUUGUCAACAGCUGACAGCGAAUUUUGGUUACACAGUGUCUACGACAUUCCGUCGUGCGUUGCAACGGUCUUGCGCGUUCUGGCGCUGCUGGUCGGAUUGGGUUGCGUUGCCGCGGUGUGGCUAGUUGUUUGCGCAUUACCGGUUGUUAUCUUAGCGGCGACCAUCGUUGUGACAAUGGCUAAAAUACACGGCACACUCGCCGCUUUCCCUUCCUGUGUCAUCGCUUUAUGUUUGCUGACACUGCAUUGCCUAGGGAGACUGUUAGGAUUGUGGAUGGAUCGGUCUUAUUUAGCACCGGUUUAUGAGAAAAUUCAAAGAAUGCUCAUGCUGACAAGGAAGAUGUCCAAAUAUCACGAUCUGGAAGCCGAUGCCGGAAAUGAGUCGGGAAGACAACCACCACAUCUACACGCGUUGUGCGUGGAGUGCGCGCGGCUUUCGCUCUGGGCUGCUUGGUCGUAAUGGUCCACUCCUACCAUAUGUUUACUGAAUUUCCUCCAAUAGCUUUCCUGCUAAGACGGGUGCUGCCCGAUCGAGAAGUGUGGAUGAUGGAUAACGGGACAAAGCAUUGCGCCAGCGAGACAACCGUACCAAAUACACUGCAAAUACAAAUCACUGUCGCAAUUUCUGUGACCUUAUCGGCUAACUUACACCGGCGCGAUGACAUCAUAUUGGACAACAAAAGGGCAAUUGGAUUUAAAUACCUGCGAUGAGUUUUUUCAGUUCUGUUUGUCAGUGAUGCCGGGUUGUUUUUUGAUGGUGGGCAGCUUAGGGCUUCUGAUUGCCAGCGGUGUUUCAGCUGCGCGUUUCCCAGCAGAACGCUAUGGCUUGAAAUUUCUGGCCUAUUUGAUGGAGUGUUUUGGCCAUGACGAGACCGCUGAAUCCGACACAGAACGAUCGCCACGCACUCGUCUGAUCGACAGGGAAUCGCGUGCCAGUCCAAGAGGAAAGCAAGUUUCCGGGGAAAUCCAAGAAAGCAACAGUGCAUGGAUUUUUACUGAUUCACAGUAUGAACCAGCCGACAGGGACGCACCAAACGCAGCGGACGUGUCACCCGAUGUUAGCGAAGAAUAUUCGUGCAUGUGUUACCCACUAGGCAAUCUGGUCCUCGACAGUCUCUGGCUGAUCCGCUGGGCAGGCAGUUGGAUGUUCCUCCAGUUCCCACUGGCCGAAUUUCUCUUGUUUGAGCGCCUGCAGUUGCCAGCACUCCUGGUGUUUCUCGGGGAAUACUUUGUGUGGAUAAAUACGAUGAGCCGUAACAAGCAGACGGCUGAAUUCCCUAGUCUGCCAGCUAAGAAAGAUGCCCUUGUGGAAGACGACGUCCAGGAUGGCGGGAAGGCUGGUAACCGAAAAGCCAAAUUUCCAACAUGCUCCGUAUGCGGGUUCAUCUCCACGUUUUGGAAAGAUAUGCCGGAUGGGGGAAAUAAAACUGUCAGCACGAGUACCACUGAUCUACGGGACAUGAUUUACCGAGCGCAGUACACGGUGAAAUACGCGAAGGAGCCGGCUUUUUUUAAUAUUGAAUACUACAUGCAAUAACGUUAAGGAUCGACGGGACGCCAAUAAUCCAGCUGCAGAUAAGAUGUACACAUUUUAUUCU